UUGUGAUGACAGAGCCUGGACAUUCCAUGUUGCCUGUUUUUCACAGGAAUGCCAUAGUUUAUGCCAGGGAGUGAGGAGGAAGAACAGAAUAGGAAGAAGCCAAUGAAAGAGACAGAUGCGUCUGGUGGAGGGUUUGGUUGACCCUCGGAGAGUUGGAAGUCUCCCUCUUCUCAUUACAGCAAGCAGUCAGAUACCGCCCGUUUCAUUUGUGUCCAAUCUGUCAGCAAAACAAGUGUUUGUACUUAGGAAAGCUUUUGUGUAGUUGUGUUUGUGGCUUUAAAGUAAAAUUCAAAAGAAAUAGAGAGGAAGCAAUACAGGGGAAACUUUCUGGCGAGAUAAGAAAACAGAGGCUAGGAGAAUUUGAGUUAUGGUCCAACACAACCAUCAUGAUGUCAACUCAACAGCUUGGCUCAGGAAAAUAAAAUUAUUUACUAAAUGAAACCCAAGAUCCAAUAUGAGGAGCGUGAAGUGUAAUGACUUCAUUCCAUGGAAGAAAGAACAGAAGCCAGAAUUGUCAGUCUCUCUUGUAUUAUUCCUACAGCCUUUUGUGGUUUCCUGUGGCACUUCUGUGGGCUGCAUUAUUAAGUAUAAGUUGACUCUUCUGA